UGUCAUUAAAAUUUCAAAGAGAAUGGUAUAACAUGUUCUCACAGACCCUUCUUCAAAUGAGCUACCUUCGUAACAAGGGCGGCGAUUGUUAGAGAGGCAUUGGUGUGCAUAUUCUACUUACUCAAGAAAGGUUCAUCAAGUAUUCUGGGGGUAUGGCGAUCUAUUCUCGUUGCAUCCCCUUUUCUGAAUGGUAAAUUUUCAUUCUUGCAAAACCUUUUUUUGAUGUUUUCUUCAUUUUCUAGUUGAUCUAGUCUGGAUGACUACCUGUUUCGAUCUAUUUCUUGGCAUCAGCUAAAAUAGUUUUUGCUUUAUUUUCUGUCAUUGUAUUGUGAUAAACUUGAGCUGUUGUUAGAGGUUACAGGUUACAUGUGUGUGUUUUUUAUGU